rnacentral:rRNA from 1 species
CUGCAUGAAGCUGGAAUCGCUAGUAAUCGCGGAUCAGAAUGCCGCGGUGAAUACGUUCCCGGGCCUUGUACACACCGCCCGUCACACCAUGGGAGUCGGGAAUGCCCGAAGUCAGUGAACCCCAACCGAAAGGGGGGAGCUGCCGAAGGCAGGCCUGGUAACUGGGGUGAAGUCGUAACAAGGUAAC